GAACAUCCUGCAUAGUGCUGCCAGGAAAUCCCUAUUUCAUAUAAGAGGGGGCUGGCUGGUUGCAUAUGUAGGAUGUCCC
rnacentral:pre_miRNA from 1 species